UCCAUCGUGAGGUGGAAUCUGAAAGAAGCCGGCGGCAAACAUCUGACCUAACGAACAGAAACUUCAUACAAGGCAUAUGACCGUGGGUAAGGUUGCUAAACAAAUCAAAGCCCUAUAGCUAUUCGGAACGGUUGGUGUAAAUGAAGUGGGUAUAAGAUGGAAAGACAAUGCC
rfam:Prevotella multisaccharivorax DSM 17128 genomic scaffold scaffold_3, whole genome shotgun sequence.